ensembl:lncRNA
UGGUAGAAGAAUCCAAGGAGCUGAGUAUGCCGACAGAUGAUUGGUUACUUUGUAGCGCGAAGGCGGUGCCUAGCUAAGACGUGUUGGUCACUGGAACUGCCUUCUCGUCGGCUGUUAACGACGCACGCAAAAACGAGGAAAGGUUGUAAUGGAGAAAUAGAGGCACGGUGACUGGGAGAAAUAAGGGAACGCCUCCCUAAUGCUGGUUCAAUGAGAGUCAUAUGACAUCUGUUACCCGUUGACUCCACAAUUACCUCCUAUGGGAAAUGUUGUGGGUCAUCUCCAGUCUUGGGCUCCCCCAGUAUCCACCAGCAUCCUCUCUCAGCAGUAAAGACUGGACUAACAGCGGAGGAUACCUUGUCUCAGGGCCAAGCUUGAUUUCAGUGCUGUCAACUUUUUAUUUUACCUGUCAGAAUGGAAACGGACAUACAAGGGUUUGUUUGCCCCUCUGACGUCUUUAGCCACAUAGGCUGUGAGAGGAAAUAGACAGAGAGCAGAUUUUAAGGACCCCACACCUCUUAAUGGUAUGCUUCGUAUGAGAGUGUGGGAUUUGGAGGGCC